rnacentral:tRNA from 2 species
GGAGAGAUGGCUGAGUUGGUCUAAGGCGCACGACUGGAAAUCGUGUGACCGCUAAUACCGGUCCAUGAGUUCGAAUCUCAUUCUCUCCGCCA